CCUACGGGAGGCAGCAGUGGGGAAUAUUGCACAAUGGGGGAAACCCUGAUGCAGCGACGCCGCGUGAGUGAAGAAGUAUCUCGGUAUGUAAAGCUCUAUUAGCAGGGAAGAAAAUGACGGUACCUGAUUAAGAAGCCCCGGCUAACUACGUGCCAGCAGCCGCGGUAAUACGGAGGGGGCAAGCGUUAUCCGGAUUUAAUGGGUGUAAAGGGGGCGUAGACGGCAGCACAAGUCUGGAGUGAAAUGCCGGGGCUUAACCCCGGAACUGCUUUGGAAACUGGGCAGCUAGAGUGCAGGAGAGGUAAGUGGAAUUCCUGGUGUAGCGGUGAAAUGCGUAGAUAUUAGGAGGAACACCGGUGGCGAAGGCGGCUUACUGGACUGUAACUGACGUUGAGGCUCGAAAGCGUGGGGAGCAAACAGGAUUAGAUACCCUAGUAGUC
rnacentral:rRNA from 1 species